AUACGGAAGGUCCGGGCGUUAUCCGGAUUUAUUGGGUUUAAAGGGAGCGCAGGCGGAGAUGCAAGCGUGACGUCAAAUUUCGGGGCUCAACCCCGUCUCGCGUCGCGAACUGCGUCCCUUGGUUGCGGGAAGGGGAGGCGGAACUCGUGGUGUAGCGGUGAAAUGCAUAGAUAUCACGAAGAACUCCGAUCGCGAAGGCAGCCUUCCAGCCCGUCAACGACGCUCAUGCUCGAAGGUGCGGGUAUCAAACAGGAUUAGAUUCCCUGGUAGUCCACACAGUAAACGAUGGACACCCGCGGUUUGGCCUGUAUGGCUGAGCCGCCAAGCGAAAGCAUUAUGUGUCCCCCCUGGGGACUACGCCGGCAACGGUGAAACUCAAAUGAAUUGACGGGG
rnacentral:rRNA from 1 species